rfam:Triticum urartu cultivar G1812 contig326051, whole genome shotgun sequence.
AUAGUACUCCCUCCUUCCCGAAUUAGUUGACUUGGAUUUGUCUACAUGCAGAUGUAUCUAGACAUGUUUUAGUGUUAGAUACGUUCAUAUUUGGACAAAUCUAAAUCAACUAAUUUGGGACGGAGGCAAUAGAAG